rnacentral:rRNA from 1 species
AUACGGAGGGUCCAAGCGUUAUCCGGAUUCAUUGGGUUUAAAGGGUCCGCAGGCGGGAAAAUAAGUCAGUGGUGAAAGCCUACAGCUCAACUGUAGAACUGCCAUUGAUACUGUUUUUCUUGAGUAUAGAUGAAGUGGGCGGAAUAUAUCAUGUAGCGGUGAAAUGCAUAGAUAUGAUAUAGAACACCGAUUGCGAAGGCAGCUCACUAAACUAUUACUGACGCUCAGGGACGAAAGCGUGGGGAGCGAACAGAAUUAGAAACCCGAGUAGUCC